AAGAAAAGUGUGUGGAGAAAAAAAAAUGGAGAGUGUGUAAAAAAAAAGAAAAAAAGAAAAAAAAAAUUAUGGAUGCCAAAGAAUGUCUUAAAAUAGUUUUUCAAAAGUAUGGUAGAAGAAAAGGAAUUCAUAUUGAGUCUUUAAAAGAAAUAUGCGAGAUAACAAGAGUAGAGUUUGAUGAAUGGUUGUACGAUCAGAGGUUAUAUUUUGAGAGAAAAAGAAAUGAUAUUCGAAUGGAAAUACUAAAUGACUUGAGAUGGUGGUAUAGACAAAGGCAAAUAUCUCAUCUUGAUUUUAACAUAAUAUUUUUGCUGGAAGAAGAAAGAAGGUUGAAAGAUAUUGAAAAUGGUGCUAAAAUUGCUAAAGAUGAUUUUCGAUGGAUGGGUAAAGGGCAGAGAUGAGUAUCGAUGAUCCAACUAAAAGUUCAACUGGA
rnacentral:lncRNA from 1 species